UCGCAUCUGUGCAUGCAGCAUAUCAAUAAGCGGAGGAAAAGAAACUAACAAGGAUUCCCCUAGUAACGGCGAGUGAAGCGGGAAGAGCUCAAAUUUGAAAUCUUAAAGGGUUUCCCUUUACGAAUUGUAGUUUAAAGAAGUGUUUUCUGUUGAGGUUUUGGUAAAAGUUCUUUGGAAUAGGACAUCAUAGAGGGUGAGAAUCCCGUAUUUGACCUUUACUUUCAACUUUGUGAUACACUUUCAAAGAGUCGGAUUGUUUGGGAAUGCAGUCCAAAAUGGGUGGUAAAUUUCAUCUAAAGCUAAAUAUUGGCGAGAGACCGAUAGCGAACAAGUACCGUGAGGGAAAGAUGAAAAGAACUUUGAAAAGAGAGUUAAACAGUACGUGAAAUUGUCAAAAGGGAAGCGUUUGACACCAGUGUUGUUUUUCUGAAAAUCAAUUAAAGAACUGCUUAUGCUAAGCUGUUUAGACUUUAUCAGCUAUCUGUUUAGUUUUGAGCUUUUCUUUAAUGCACUUUUCAGUUAACAAGUCAACAUCAAUUUCUUUGCUGUAAAAAAGCUUGAGGAAGGUGGCUUGAGAUUCGUCUUAAGUGUUUAUAGCCUCUUGCCUAUGCAGUCGGAGAGAUUGAGGUCUGCAGCGUAGAUCCUUCAGGGCUAAAUGCAUUUGUGCUAAGUUAUAGCAUUUUAUAGACAACUUGUUGACUAUGAUUUGUCUUGUAGCUUACUCGCUUAUGUUAUUUUACCUACGCUUAGGAUGUUGAAUCUGUGCGAGACUAC
rnacentral:rRNA from 1 species